rnacentral:rRNA from 1 species
CAAAGGUGAGCCAGUACAGGAUGGACCCGCGUCUGAUUAGCUAGUUGGUAAGGUAACGGCUUACCAAGGCGACGAUCAGUAGCCGACCUGAGAGGGUGAUCGGCCACAUUGGAACUGAGACACGGUCCAAACUCCUACGGGAGGCAGCAGUGGGGAAUAUUGCACAAUGGGCGAAAGCCUGAUGCAGCAACGCCGCGUGAGUGAUGAAGGCCUUCGGGUCGUAAAACUCUGUCCUCAAGGAAGAUAAUGACGGUACUUGAGGAGGAAGCCCCGGCUAACUACGUGCCAGCAGCCGCGGUAAUACGUAGGGGGCUAGCGUUAUCCGGAUUUACUGGGCGUAAAGGGUGCGUAGGCGGUCUUUCAAGUCAGGAGUGAAAGGCUACGGCUCAACCGUAGUAAGCUCUUGAAACUGGGAGACUUGAGUGCAGGAGAGGAGAGUGGAAUUCCUAGUGUAGCGGUGAAAUGCGUAGAUAUUAGGAGGAACACCAGUUGCGAAGGCGGCUCUCUGGACUGUAACUGACGCUGAGGCACGAAAGCGUGGGGAGCAAACAGGAUUAGAUACCCUGGUAGUCCGCGCUGUAAACGAUGAGUACUAGGUGUCGGGGGUUACCCCCUUCG